AAUGAACGUUGGCGGCGUGGAUUAGGCAUGCAAGUCGGUCGUCCCGCAAGGGACGAGGCGCAAGGGUGAGUAAGGCGACGGUAACCAACCCCACGGGUGGGGACAGCUGGCCGAAAGGCCAGGUAAUCCCCAGCGACGUCAGAUGAGGGCAUCCUCGACUGACCAAAGGCGUGAAUCCGCCGUGGGACGGGCCGUCGUGGUAUCAGCUAGAUGGUGAGGUAAUGGCUCACCAUGGCUUAGACGCCUACCGGGCGUGCGAGCGGGGCCCGGCACACUGGGACUGAGACACUGCCCAGACACCUACGGGUGGCUGCAGUCGAGAAUCUUCGGCAAUGGGCGCUAGCCUGACCGAGCGACGCCGCGUGGAGGACGAAGGCCUUCGGGUUGUAAACUCCUGUCGUAGGGGAACAAGGCCUGGUGGAGAAUCAGGCUUGAGUGAUCCUAGGAGGAAGCACGGGCUAAGUUCGUGCCAGCAGCCGCGGUAA
rnacentral:rRNA from 1 species